rnacentral:rRNA from 1 species
GUCCCAGCCGCCGCGGUAAUACGGAGGGUCCAAGCGUUAUCCGGAAUCAUUGGGUUUAAAGGGUCCGCAGGCGGGCAAUUAAGUCAGGGGUGAAAGGCUGCGGCUCAACCGUAGCACUGCCCUUGAUACUGAUUGUCUUGAGUUAUGGUGAAGUGGCCGGAAUAUGUAGUGUAGCGGUGAAAUGCAUAGAUAUUACAUAGAACACCGAUUGCGAAGGCAGGUCACUAACCAUUGACUGACGCUGAGGGACGAAAGCGUGGGGAGCGAACGGGAUUAGAUACCCCGGUAGUCCACGCUGUAAACGAUGGAUACUAGCUGUUGGGUUUUCGGACUCAGCGGCCAAGCGAAAGUGAUAAGUAUCCCACCUGGGGAGUACGUUCGCAAGAAUGAAACUCAAAGGAAUUGACGGGGGCCCGCACAAGCGGUGGAGCAUGUGGUUUAAUUCGAUGAUACGCGAGGAACCUUACCAGGGCUUAAAUGCAGGAUGACAGGGGCAGAGACGCCCUUUUCUUCGGACAUCUUGCAAGGUGCUGUAUGGUUGUCGUCAGCUCGUGCCGUGAGGUGUCAGGUUAAGUCCUAUAACGAGCGCAACCCCUGCCGUCAGUUGCUAACAGGUAAUGCUGAGGACUCUGGCGGGACUGCCGGUGCAAACCGCGAGGAAGGUGGGGAUGACGUCAAAUCAUCACGGCCCUUACGUCCUGGGCUACACACGUGCUACAAUGGCCAGUACAGUGAGCAGCCAUCUCGCAAGAGAGAGCGAAUCUACAAAGCUGGUCUCAGUUCGGAUCGAGGUCUGCAACCCGACCUCGUGAAGCUGGAAUCGCUAGUAAUCGGAUAUCAGCCAUGAUCCGGUGAAUACGUUCCCGGGCCUUGUACACACCGCCCGUCAAGCCAUGGAAGCCGGGGGUACCUGAAGUCCGUCACCGCAAGGAGCGGCCUAGGGUAAGACCGGUAACUAGGGCUAAGUCGUAACAAGGUAACC